GUGGGGAAUCUUGCACAAUGGGCGAAAGCCUGAUGCAGCGACGCCGCGUGCGGGAUGAAGGCCUUCGGGUUGUAAACCGCUUUCAGCAGGGACGAGGCCGCAAGGUGACGGUACCUGCAGAAGAAGCCCCGGCUAACUACGUGCCAGCAGCCGCGGUAAUACGUAGGGGGCAAGCGUUAUCCGGAUUCAUUGGGCGUAAAGCGCGCGUAGGCGGUCUGUUAGGUCAGGAGUUAAAUCUGGGGGCUCAACCCCUAUCCGCUCCUGAUACCGGCAGGCUUGAGUCUGGUAGGGGAAGAUGGAAUUCCAAGUGUAGCGGUGAAAUGCGCAGAUAUUUGGAAGAACACCGGUGGCGAAGGCGGUCUUCUGGGCCAUGACUGACGCUGAGGCGCGAAAGCUAGGGGAGCGAACAGGAUUAGAAACCCCAGUAGUCC
rnacentral:rRNA from 1 species